AAAAAUAAUAAUAAGUCUAUAGGAAAGCACCUAAGGAUGGGGGCUGGUUGCCAGUGGAGCCAUUUCUGUGAUUAGAACUUUUAGUCCCACUCCCUGACCUCUGAGGAAGGGAGAGGGGCUAACGAUUGCCUUCAAUCCCUUAUGGCCAAUGAUUUCAUUACUCAUGCUUGUGUAAAACAGCCUUCAGAAAAAACUAAAAGGACUGGGUUCAGCGAGCUUCUGGAUUGAACACGUGAAGGUGCAGGGAGGGUGGUGCUUGGAGAGGGCAUGGAGCUCUGCACCCUUUUCCUGUACCUUGCCCUAUGCGUCUGUCAUCUGGCUGUUCCUGAGUUAUUUUAUAAUAAACCAGUCUUUCUCUGAGUUCUGUGAGCCGAGUUAGCAAGUUAAUGGGAACCUCUGAUUCAUAGCAAGUUGAUCAGAAGUACAGGUAACAAUGUGACUGACAUCUGAAUUGAGUUGCUAAGGAGGAGGUUAUUGGAACCUCCAAUCUAUAGCCAGUCAAUCAGAAGUACAGGUAAUAAAUAAUCUGACAUCUGAAGUUGGAGGUGGGGGAUAUAUUUUGUCUUGUAGGAUUGAGCCCACAAUCUAUGGAAUCUGAUGCUACCUCCAGGUAGAUAUUACCAGAAUUAAGUUGAAUUAUCAGACACCCAGCUGGUAUUCCAAGAAUUGCCUAUCGGAGUGAUUUGAGAAUUCUCAAAUCUCAAUAAUUACUUGUUGGAGAAUUGCUAAUUGGAACACUAAAUUAGUGAUAUAUGUAAGACCUGUGUCUAGAUUAAUAUUUUUUUUGUCAUGUGGGUGUCUAGUUCUGCCAGUAACCACUUUUUUUUUUAAUUCCUAUCCGAGGAUAUAUAUGUUUGUUUUUUAAAGUGACUUUAGAGCGAGGAAGGGAGAGUGAGAGAGAAAGAGAAACAUUGAUGUGAGAUAGAAACAUCGAUUGGCUGCCUCCUGUUCACACCUCAACCAGGUAUUGAACUGGAAACCUGGGUAUGUGCUCUGACUGGGAAUCAAACCCACAACCCUUCGGUGCACUGGACAAUGCUCCAACCAACUGACCCAUGCCAGCCAGGGCUCCAGUAACCAUUUGUUGAAAAGACUGUCUUUGCUCCAUUGUACUGCCUUUGUCCUUUGACCAAGAUCAGUUGGCUGUAUUUAUGUGUGCUUGUGUUUUUCAGAUGCAGUCUUGAAUACUCCUAAUUUUCUUUGUUUUGUUCUUUGGAUCAUUCCUUUUUUCUUUUUCAUAGCCUCAGUAAAUUAUACUUAAACAAUAGCAAUAGCCUCCUUAUUAUCUUACUAGUCUUCAGUCUCCUUUCUUCCCAUCCUGGACUAUUUCAAAGCUCACUUUGCAAAACUAUCUGGUUCAGUCAGAGAAUAUCAGAAGAAUUGUAGAAUCUCAGUAGUGUAGGGAUCAUAAAAGUCAUUUAGUUCACAUACUUGUCUUUCAUUUGAAUUUCCUCUCCAUAUCUGACGAAUAACUUCUGCCAAGUUGAUUAGGCUAAGCUUGAAUUCCUCCAGUGACAAGAAAAUCAUUCUCUCUGAAUGCUGCAGUCCAAUUCUUUGGACAACUGGAGGUUUAAGUUGAAUCUUCCUUAGUUAAUGUAGGAUGAAUAUACUUAUAGCUUCUACUACACACUCAAUUCUCCCCCUAAGACCAUACAGAACAAGGAUUACCCUACUUCCCUAUGAAAGCCCUUUAGGUUUGGGAAGAUAUUAUUUUGUCCAGAAUAAACUCCCUGUAGAUUCAUCUUUUCUCUAAACUGAAUCUCCAACUUGGUUGGUUCCUCCAGCCAAUCUUUUUGUAACUUGAAUUUUAGUCCUUUACCAUUCUAUUCACAUUUCUCUGAACUUUAACAUUUGUUUAUAUUCACCUUAAGUUGUGAAACCCAGGAAAUCAGUUUGAGUACUGUAAGUGUGGUCCCUGUUUAAAAUAGACCAGAAAUAUUCAUUCUUUUUUCAAAACAUCAGUCUUUUCUUAAUGCAGGCUGAAGUUGCAUUAACAUUUUUGACAUCUACAUUCUAUCUUGACUCAUAUUGAAUUUACUGUUGAGUAACUCACAAAGCCAUAUCUCGCCCAGUUGUACUCAAGAACAGGAAUCUUACAUUUACUCUUGAUAACUUUUAUCUUGUUAGAAUAGCUCAUUGCUGUUUUACAACUACAACUUGUCGGGGAAUAAAAAAUGUUUUCUUACCAGCUUAUGAUUUGAGACUAUAAAACAUAUACACUAAAUAGAAUAAAAACCUAAGGACUCUUAGAAAGCAAUUUAAUAUAGUGUGAGUUGUAACUAUGAAUGAUGUUUUCCAAGGUGUCCUCUGGCCUGCAUUAGAAUCACCUAGGGAUGGGCUUAUUAAAUAUUCAGGUUCUUCAACUCCACUAUAGACUUAAUGAAUUUGAAUUUCUAGGAGUGAUGCCUGGAAAUCUGCAUUUUAACAAGCUCCGUUGGAUGUUGGUGCUUGUUAAAGUUUGACAACUACUAUCAUGCUGCCUACAAAAAUGAACUAAACACUCCUUAUCCUGAUGUUAAUUUGAGAUCAACUUCUGACUUAUUAUUCUGCUCACUAUUGUGUAAAAUUAGCGUUUGCUCUCAUUAUUCCACUUUUGGAUAAAUAAAAGUUGACUGGCAAUUUUUCAUCAUUGCAGCUGACCUCUGAUAAAGUCUCAAGCAAACAAAGAAAAUUUCACUGCUUUCUAAGAUACAAACGUCACUUUUUGGAUAGUGUUUGAAAGAUUGCAAAUAGUAAAGAUUACUGUUUAUUCAUUUUA